GAUGUGAUCCACCAAUUAACAAAGGGAAAUGACUCGUCAUUGUAUGUUACCAUCACACUAAGGGACGGCAGAACGCUGUAUGAAUUGUAUGUUCGUUUCCUUGUUUCCAGUGGAGCAGAGAAGUAUCAACUCUAUUUAGGAGGAUCUACCUCAGGAACCUUGGGUGACGGUAUGCUACAUAAAGAAGAUAAAAUACUUGAACUUUCCGUGAUGUACUUUAGUACAUUUGAUAAUGACAACGACAGGAGUGGAUCUAACUGUGCCGAGUUUAAUAGGGGCGGGUGGUGGUUUAAUUCCUGUUUCAAUGCAUUCCUUAACGGCCCCUGGUCUGUGAAGGAAUGGGUAUAUCCCUGGUUCCCGUCGGUUCUUUCUGGAGAGGAAGUGGCGGCGACCAGAAUGAUGGUUAAGAGAAUUUAGGAACAGUUUAAAUUAAGUUCGAAAAUGUUUCGGUCUAUUAGUCUCUCAAACGACUCUUUUAUAAUGGAUAUUUUUUUUUAUUACAUUUAUUACUAAAUUAUGUAAAUAAUGUACAAUUAAAAAAUUAAAAUCUUUUCAAGUCAAUCAACGUUA